GACGAACGCUGGCGGCGUGCUUAACACAUGCAAGUCGAACGGAAAGGCCUGCUUUCCCUUGUGGAUUGCGGGUACUCGAGUGGCGAACGGGUGAGUAACACGUGAGUGAUCUGCCCCCAACUUGGGUAUAAGCCUGGGAAACUGGGUCUAAUUCCCGAUAGGACUGCAGGGUGGUGCCUGUGGUGGAAAACGAUUUUCUAGUGGUUGGGGAUGAGCUCGCGGCCUAUCAGCUUGUUGGUGGGGUAAUGGCCUAUCAAGGCGGCGACGGGUAGCCGGCCUGAGAGGGUGGACGGCUACAUUGGGACUGAGAUACGGCCCAGACUCCUACGGGAGGCAGCAGUGGGGAAUAUUGCACAAUGGGCGGAAGCCUGAUGCAGCGACGCCGCGUGGGGAUGACGGCCUUCGGGUUGUAAACUCCUUUCGACCGCGAGGAAGCCACCUGGUUGGAAGGGUGGUGACGGUAGUGGUAGAAGAAGCACCGGCUAACUACGUG
rnacentral:rRNA from 1 species